rnacentral:rRNA from 1 species
UACGUAGGGUGCGAGCGUUGUCCGGAAUUAUUGGGCGUAAAGAGCUCGUAGGCGGUUUGUCGCGUCUGCUGUGAAAACCUAAGGCUCAACCUUGGGCUUGCAGUGGGUACGGGCAGACUAGAGUGCGGUAGGGGUGACUGGAAUUCCUGGUGUAGCGGUGAAAUGCGCAGAUAUCAGGAGGAACACCGGGUGGCGAAGGCGGGGUCUCUGGGGCCGA